ACAAUUUUGAAUGCAACAUUUGUAUAUAUAUGACUGCCCUUUUAUCUUCACUUUCAUUUCCUUAUCAAAGUCUUCGUUUUGUGCAAUGGUAGGAUGGUUUGUUUCCACUCGCUACAGAUCCUAUUUUCCCAUUUUCUGAAAGUUGAAUUUCCGCUUGACGAAGUUUUCUCUUCCCAUCAAGAUUAUUUGAUAUUCUCUUGAGUGUUUUUACUUUUCUCAUGAACACAAGUGUUUUCCAUUCUCUCUUUUUAGCACUGGUGAUGGGAUUAGGUGAGAGCCAUGAAAUAAUG
rnacentral:lncRNA from 1 species